rnacentral:rRNA from 1 species
CCUACGGGAGGCAGCAGUGGGGAAUAUUGCACAAUGGGGGGAACCCUGAUGCAGCAACGCCGCGUGGGUGAAGAAGUACUCCGGUAUGUAAAGCCCUGUCAGCAGGGAAGAAAAUGACGGUACCUGACCAAGAAGCCCCGGCUAACUACGUGCCAGCAGCCGCGGUAAUACGUAGGGGGCAAGCGUUAUCCGGAUUUACUGGGUGUAAAGGGAGCGUAGACGGCAAGGCAAGUCUGGAGUGAAAGCCCGGGGCCCAACCACGGGACUGCUUUGGAAACUGUGUUGCUGGAGUGCAGGAGGGGUAAGCGGAAUUCCUAGUGUAGCGGUGAAAUGCGUAGAUAUUAGGAGGAACACCAGUGGCGAAGGCGGCUUACUGGACUGUAACUGACGUUGAGGCUCGAAGGCGUGGGGAGCAAACAGGAUUAGAUACCCCUGUAGUC